rnacentral:lncRNA from 1 species
GGGUAGAGGGCAGCAACCGACUUGUGCGAAAGGAGGGAACGUGUGGGUCUGCCAGGGUCCUGCAGGGGGGAUGAGACCCUCGCUCCGCUCCGGCGAUCCCUUCGCUCUCCACCCUCGGCCAGCCCCUCCUGUCCUCCAUCAGGCCUCGCUGAGGAUACCUCCUGGGUUCCAAAGCGCGAGUUGAACCUGAGCUUGACAUUCAUUCCGUCUCGUACAAAAGCCAUGCCUGCGGGGAGAGGGAGAAAAUUUCCUACAGGAGCCUCAAGACUGCGUUUCAGGAAGCCCUAGGACCCACUGAUCCUGCAGCUGCGCCUCUCACUCGCCUCAGGUCCUGAGCUGGAACGAUGGAAUCUAGCAGAAGUUGCCUUUCCAGAUUCAAACGGCUUCUAUGGUGGAUUCACACAAAAGAAAUUAGUAGAAGAAAGAAUUUUGCUAAAUUUCUUUUCAGAAAGACUUUACUCAUUUAUCAGCAAUAAAUAGUAUCUGUUAUGAGUUAAAUUGUGUCUCCAAAAAGAUAUGCUGGGGUAAUAGCCACUGGGAACUUUGAAUGUAAUCUUAUUUGGAAAUAGGGUCUUUGCUAAUAUUAUCAAAUUAAGAUGAAGUCAUAUCAAAUUAAGUAUGACUGUCCUUAUAAGAGGAGAAGAGACACAGACACAGAGGAAAGACUG